AUUGAACGCUGGCGGCAGGCUUAACACAUGCAAGUCGAGCGGGGGGAGGUAGCUUGCUACCGGACCUAGCGGCGGACGGGUGAGUAAUGCUUAGGAAUCUGCCUAUUAGUGGGGGACAACAUCUCGAAAGGGAUGCUAAUACCGCAUACGUCCUACGGGAGAAAGCAGGGGAUCUUCGAACCUUGCGCUAAUAGAUGAGCCUAAGUCGGAUUAGCUAGUUGGUGGGGUAAAGGCCUACCAAGGCGACGAUCUGUAGCGGGUCUGAGAGGAUGAUCCGCCACACUGGGAAUGAGACACGGCCCAGACUCCUACGGGAGGCAGCAGUGGGGAAUAUUGGACAAUGGGGGGAACCCUGAUCCAGCCAUGCCGCGUGUGUGAAGAAGGCCUUAUGGUUGUAAAGCACUUUAAGCGAGGAGGAGGCUACUUUAGUUAAUACCUAGAGAUAGUGGACGUUACUCGCAGAAUAGGCACCGGCUAACUCUGUGCCAGCAGCCGCAGUAA
rnacentral:rRNA from 1 species